rnacentral:rRNA from 1 species
GAUGAACGCUGGCGGCGUGCCUAAUACAUGCAAGUCGAGCGAACAGACGAGGAGCUUGCUCCUCUGACGUUAGCGGCGGACGGGUGAGUAACACGUGGAUAACCUACCUAUAAGACUUGGAUAACUUCGGGAAACCGGAGCUAAUACCGGAUAAUAUAUUGAACCGCAUGGUUCAAUAGUGAAAGACGGUUUUGCUGUCACUUAUAGAUGGAUCCGCGCCGCAUUAGCUAGUUGGUAAGGUAACGGCUUACCAAGGCGACGAUGCGUAGCCGACCUGAGAGGGUGAUCGGCCACACUGGAACUGAGACACGGUCCAGACUCCUACGGGAGGCAGCAGUAGGGAAUCUUCCGCAAUGGGCGAAAGCCUGACGGAGCAACGCCGCGUGAGUGAUGCAGGUCUUCGGUUCGUAAAACUCUGUUAUUAGGGAAGAACAAAUGUGUAAGUAACUAUGCACGUCUUGACGGUACCUAAUCAGAAAGCCACGGCUAACUACGUG